rnacentral:lncRNA from 1 species
UUCUGGUGGAUGAUGGGAGUAAGGUCAAUUUAUUGCCAUAUCGGGUUUUCCAGCAGAUGGGAAUCCCAGAGGAACAGCUGGUUCGGGACCAGUCACCCAUCAAAGGGAUAGGAGGAGCACCGGUACUUGUGGAAGGGAAGGUGAAGUUGGCCCUUACCUUGGGAGAAGCACCCAGGGCUCGCACCCAUCAUGAGGUGUUUUUGGUGGUCAAACUCCCACUAAGC